ACGGCCAAAACAUCUGUUUGCUAUAUUGCCAUUUCCUCCUUUAUUCAGAAGCCCCCUGAAGGCAGCAUAAACCUGAGACAUGAAACAAAACACAUAGAAGACUGUAGUAUUAUUACACAUGUGCGCUUUAUUGAUUAAAAACACAAUCGUGACUUUCCAUGUUUGGAUUAUACUUCUCAUCUUGGACAUUUUCAUCGUGUCACAAUACGUUUUUCCACCAGUCAUCACAUUUAUCCAGCAUGAAAUCAAGGAAUCAUAUCUCCUCUCAUGGUCGACAUCCUCCAGUUGCUUUAAAAGGAAACACGAGUAACGCGUGUUUUGAUCUCAUCAUUGAUAAGGCUUGGGGCCUUUCAAUAGGUCGCUUGAGCUGAGAUGGGAGGAGCCGUACCGCCUCGGGCUCCCCAUCAGGGCCUCCAUGGGGCUGGGAGGCCUACGAUUGGGGGCCUUAUCUCCAACACUCGAGGAGCCGGGGACAUAGGACCCAGGGACAUAGGAGCCAGCGACAAAGGACCCAGGGACAUAGGACCCAGGGACAGAAGAGGCGGGGGCAGAGCAGACAGGGGCAGAAGAGGCGGGCGCAGAGGAGACAGGGGCAGAAGAGGCGGGCGCAGAGGAGACAGGGGCAGAAGAGGCGGGGGCAGAAGAGGCGGGCGCAGAGGAGACAGGGGCAGAAGAGGCGGGCGCAGAGGAGACAGGGGCAGAAGAGGCGGGGGCAGAGGAGACAGGGGCAGAAGAGGCGGGGGCAGAGGAGACAGGGGCAGAGGGCCGGCAGACAGUUGAAGGACGCAGAGGAUCCAUCUUCACAACAGGUUUGGAGGGGAGGGACACGUAGGGGACGGCGGGAGCAGCGGCAGGCGUAGAGCAGCUGCCACCGGGAGCUGAAAGUCCGGCCCGACCGGCACCGGGAUCUUCGCCGCCUCGCUCGCCAUCAGAGCAUUCCUGCAAUUUUAUCCAAAUCCACAAAUUAAAUAUUUGCCCCAGAGGGCUUUACAAUCUUUGCACGUGUGACACCGUCUGUCUCCAGAACCGUCGCACGUAACCUCGGACAUGGAGGGAGGUGCACAUGGGGAAUGGAGGCACAGCGGGGGAAAAGACAGCGAGGGACGACGUCAGGAAUAUUAAGAGAAAACUUACCCUCUUUUUCUUAUUGUCAGUUUCACUUCCUGAUGAACCAGACCUCUGAAGGGCAAACAGAAAAAAAAUGAUGUAAUUUGAACCGCCUCCAUUAUAUCAUCUGAUGAUAGUCACAUUGCACGAGCAUCUCACCUUCUUCUUCUUGUCCUUUUUAUUCUCCUUGUCACUGCCGUCAGAUGGACACGAUGAACUGGACUUUGAGUCCUGCUCAAAUAUUAAACAUGGAAACCUCCGUCAGCCAUGUUUUGUUACGCAAUAAAAAUCAACAUACACGCGUUUGUCUUUUCUAUAAAAUAGUUGACCUUCUUUUUGUCCUUCUUUUUCUUCUUCUUGUCUUUCUUCUUCUUUUUGUCAUCAGCACUGGUAGAAGAAUCGGAGUCCUUGACGGAUGCAAAUAUGGUUUAAUUGUUACUGUAUUAUGAAGGACAUCCCAUCAUGAUACAAACAUAUAAAUGUAUGAAGCAGGACGCUGCAUUGGACAAAUGAAACACGUUAUUUUACCUUCUUCUUGUCUUUCUUUUUCUUCUUAUCUUUCCUUUUCUUCUUCUUCUUCUUCUUCUUCUUCUUCUUCACCUUCUCCUUCUUCUUCUUCAGCAUCUUCUUCUUCUUCUUCUUGUGGUUCUCUCCUUCUCCCUCGUCGUCACUCAGGUGGCCUUCCUCAAUAGCGUCAGCGAAGGCCUUUGCUCCACCUGUUGGAGAGGACGCGCCGUUACCACCACACCAACGAAACGUUCCCUGACCUCUGCCUCCGCCUCUUAGACGACUCCUUACAUUUUUCUUUUUCUUUAGGCUCUUUCUUGACCUGUCGAGACAAAAGAAAGCGAUGAGUUUUUUGUGCGAUUGAGCGGAAAUGUUUUUGUACACACACAGUGUGUGUGUGUGCGUGAGUGUGUGUGAGUAUUUCACCUUGUCGGCAGAAUCGUCUUUCUUUUUCUCUCCAUCAGCACUUGGUCCCGGAGUCUCACCACCUGCAGAAAAACACUCACCAGAAGCUGGAGGAGCAGCUCCACCGCAGAGCUCAUUCUGCUCUUCAUCCUGUGGAAACAUGGAGCCGAGUUCAGAAGAUGAAGAUGAAGACGAGCAGCUGGAAUCCUGUUUAAGAAAAUAAAAGUCAGGAAUUACACAGUUAUUUAAUUUCCAUCAAAUGAGGAAUUUGAAUUGUAUGUGUGUCACUGUACACUUUGUGAAGACUCCUUCCAGUCUGAUUAGUAGUGGAAGUAAAUACUUUAUAUCCCAAGAAGAAAGAGGCUCAUUUAGACAAAAGACAUUACUUUACCUUUUUCUUGUCUUUCUUUUUCUUCUUCUUCUUCUUCUUGUCCUUUUUCUUCUUGUCAUCCUCGCUGUCAGAGGAUGAUGAAGAGCUGUCUGAGGAAGAGGAGCUUGAGUCCUUUAAAAGCAGAAAAAAACUAUUGAAUCAGUUUUGAUCAUUUAUAUUUACAAGUCGAACAGGCAGUUGAGGCCCAACAUCAAAACUAUACAUAUAAUCAAACAAAUCAUGCCUUCUUCUUCCUCUUCUUCUUCUUCUUCUUCUUCUUCUUCUUCUUUUCGUCCUCGCAGUCGGAGCAGGAACAGUCAGAUGAGGAAGAAGACGAAUCCUGGGACAGAGACAGUGCAAUAGAUAUUUAAUAACAUUAACAAAGUCAUUCACAUAUUAAUUUUGUAU
ensembl:lncRNA